UCAAGGGUCCAGGAGUUUAUUAUGGUCGCAGUGCACAGGAGGGGCCCCUGAGGUCUCACUGAAAGCUUCUCCCCAGGGAAGGCCGCGGGCUGGAGCCCCCCUGCCGGGCCAGGCCAGGUGGGCGAGCUGGGCAAAGGGCAUGUGACAGGGCCUUGGUGGGACACCCCCCCACGACUUCUUAGCUGUGUGAUCUCAGGCAAGUCUCUUCACCUCUCUGGGCCUUGGCGGCCUCGUCUGUGAAAUGGAGUGAGUGACAAAAUCUACCUCGCUGUGUUAUGAGACUCCAUUGAGACUGUGCCUGGUGAGCUGUGAACACGCCGUGGGUGGAGGCUCUUGUUACCCUCGGGGCAGAUCAGAUGUCCUCACGGUCAGGCCAGCCCCAGCCCCAGUCUCUGUGGACCAGGGGGAGGGGUUCCCAGCCUUCGCAGAUGUCUUCAGUGGGGCCGAUUGGCAAGACAGCCUGAGACACGCGAGCCACCUGGUCCCUGGAACACAGUGUUCAGACCCCACAGCGAGGCUCCUGUGGCCAGGGCACCUCCUGUCUCUUCCAGUUCCAUGAAGAGCACCAAGAACGUUCUAGUGUUGCACCCGGACCUCUCCAGGUCUCUGUCAGUCAGUGUUUUCUACGUCUAUUCAGAUGGUCUUCCUUCUGUUUUUUAUUUCUGCAUUUUUCACUUUUGGCUACGGAGUUGCCACAAGCCACUGAACUUGGAAUCCGUCCUGGCUCUGUCUCAUGCUAUCUGCGUGAACUUGGGUUGGUCACUUCACCUCUCUGAGCCUCACCAGUCCCACUGACCUUCAGGAGCUUUGAGGGAGAAGGCAGGUGAUGCAAGUUAAAGUUGAGAGUGAUGGAGGCAUCAGAGCUCAUGAGGAGUGGGCAGGGCUCCAGUGGUCACUGGCUCAAAAGCGACUGGGGCCAAAGGAAUCUCCCUGCGUGUGUGUCUGCAGAGCCGUGCUCCUGGAGGGGGUGGAAGCAGGUGCCACCACAAGAGGGCACUGUGAGCUUUUUUGUUUUUAUCUUCACGGACAAGUUUUUAAUCUUUCUAUGUCUCCAUUCCAAAUUGAACUAAAAGUUAUGUUUUUUAGUUUACCUAACUAACAUAGUAAAGCUUUUUAAGUGGAUUUAGGCACAUGUAUUCAUUUGUCAGUAAUGCUGAUUUGAUACCCUGCCCCUGGACGCUUCCAAAGCGGGUGCCCCAACCCUUCAGCAGUGCCUGCCGCGGCUCCGAGAACGAAAGCAGCUGGGGUGCUGGCCCCUGGCCGCCGCCGAGUGCCCGGUACGCGUCCACAGCUGGACCCCGGGGGGGCACAGGGGAGCCCCGACUGCGCAGAGUCACCAGGAGAGAGUGGCAGAGGCAGGCCUCUCGGCCGGACCUGGCUCAGCUGACAGGUGGGCGCGUGGGAAUGCCCUGUCCUUCCCGGUGCCCCGAGCACCUGGCCCCCACGUACCGCUUCCUGAUGGUGCAGCAGAGCAGCUUCUCCCUUCCC
rnacentral:lncRNA from 1 species